CCUGACAAUAAAAUCACCUCAUAAAGCAGCUAAUAAACAAACAUUAACUCAUUCAACUAGACAUGCGUCAUCAUCUGCAGCUUUACGCAAAGGCAUUUCAUUGGAUGUAAUCCAUAAGACUGCAGGUUGGUCCGAAAAGUCACAAACUUUUGCCAAAACCUACAAUCUGCCUCUAGCUGCAGAGACCGAUUUUGCCAAGGCAAUUAUGCAAUGAGUCAUGUGCCUUUUUUCCUUUUCGUUAUUAAAAGAAUAUAUGUUUUGUUUAUCUUUAAUUUUACAAUGUAGACGCUCAAAUAAACUUUUGAUGUUA